rnacentral:rRNA from 1 species
AUUGAACGCUGGCGGCAGGCCUAACACAUGCAAGUCGAACGGUAACAGGAAGCAGCUUGCUGCUUUGCUGACGAGUGGCGGACGGGUGAGUCAUGUCUGGGAAACUGCCUGAUGGAGGGGGAUAACUACUGGAAACGGUAGCUAAUACCGCAUAACGUCGCAAGACCAAAGAGGGGGACCUUCGGGCCUCUUGCCAUCGGAUGUGCCCAGAUGGGAUUAGCUAGUAGGUGGGGUAACGGCUCACCUAGGCGACGAUCCCUAGCUGGUCUGAGAGGAUGACCAGCCACACUGGAACUGAGACACGGUCCAGACUCCUACGGGAGGCAGCAGUGGGGAAUAUUGCACAAUGGGCGCAAGCCUGAUGCAGCCAUGCCGCGUGUAUGAAGAAGGCCUUCGGGUUGUAAAGUACUUUCAGCGGGGAGGAAGGGAGUAAAGUUAAUACCUUUGCUCAUUGACGUUACCCGAAGAAGAAGCACCGGCUAACUCCGUG